UACGUAGGUGGCAAGCGUUGUCCGGAUUUACUGGGCGUAAAGCGUGUGUAGGCGGCCAUGUAAGUCGGAUGUGAAAGCCCCGGGCUUAACCCGGGAAGUGCAUUCGAUACUGCGUGGCUUGAGUAUCGGAGAGGGUAGUGGAAUUCCCGGUGUAGUGGUGAAAUGCGUAGAUAUCGGGAGGAACACCAGUGGCGAAGGCGACUACCUGGCCUGUUCUUGACGCUGAGGCGCGAAAGCUAGGGGAGCAAACGGG
rnacentral:rRNA from 1 species